rnacentral:snoRNA from 1 species
AGUCCAUGAUGUGGGACCUUCCUCAAUAGUUCCUUGUAGCGCUCCCAUGACUUAUAUAAUGAUUCCCCAUCUUGCUGAGUGAAAGUUGUGAUGUCAUUCCACAUAUU